AGGCCUAACACAUACAAGUCGAGCGGUAACAGGAAGCAGCUUGCUGCUUCGCUGACGAGUGGCGGACGGGUGAGUAAUGUCUGGGAAACUGCCUGAUGGAGGGGGAUAACUACUGGAAACGGUAGCUAAUACCGCAUAACGUCGCAAGACCAAAGAGGGGGACCUUCGGGCCUCUUGCCAUCAGAUGUGCCCAGAUGGGAUUAGCUAGUAGGUGGGGUAACGGCUCACCUAGGCGACGAUCCCUAGCUGGUCUGAGAGGAUGACCAGCCACACUGGAACUGAGACACGGUCCAC
rnacentral:rRNA from 1 species